rnacentral:lncRNA from 1 species
GGUGGGAAAAGGGGUCCGGGGGAUCGAAGGGUAGGAAACGAGGGAUAGUGCGCUUGCAAGCGUAACCCGGUCAGAGCGAGUGGGGUGGUGACGGUGGGGUGAAAGGGGGCGGAAGGGGGUGGAAGAGGGUGUUUCGAGGAGAACGGAUAGUCACCGAAUCCUUCGGGGGUGUGUAUCCGUGUGAACGCUUUAGCAACGUUGCUGACGGUGACUAGGAUAAUGGUAGUAGUGUUGAUAGUAGUCCUAGUACUGGUAUUAGUAAUGGUAAUGGUGUUAGUGUUGGCGAUGGCGAUGGUAGUGAACGUAUAUUAUCGUGAAGCUUUUUCCGUGUCGGUGUGCUUGUGCGCGGCACCUAAAGAGAGUUAGACUGUAUUGGUAGCUUCGAUAAUUCCCCCAGACCCCGUUCUUCCAUUCGCCAGACUCGCGCGAGCGCCAUACCGAACCUUUCACGUUCACGUGUAUAUUUCUACAAAAAGCUAGGAGCGUGGUGGAUGUGAGAGCGCAGUGUGCCGAGUCGCUCAGUCCGCUUUAGGUGGGAUGAGUUCGAAGCAACCUCCACGUGAACUCGCUCUACACACCCACCUAAUGUAUAUGUACUUUAUAUACAUAUAUUAUAUAUAUAUAUACAUAUAUACGUAUGUACAUAGAGAGAAUGCUUGAGACAGGGUGCGCACGCGCAGACGGUAAACUCUCGCUUGUGUUCGAGCACGAACGUGUGCCACUCUCGUCUAUCGAAUAGGGGUGGUUCCAACUAACACAUACAUAGAACUAACGAAUAACCGAAAGACUUAUUAACGUGAUAUCACUUAACUUGGUUUUUGUGAACGUUAGAAUAAAUAUAUUAUUUUAGAGA